GUUGGAGGAUGAAGCCUUUGAGUGAU
rnacentral:miRNA from 1 species